CCCGCAACGAGCGCAACCCUGGCCAUUAGUUGCUACCAUUUAGUUGAGCACUCUAAUGGGACUGCCGGUGACAAACCGGAGGAAGGUGUUCCAUGACGUCAAGUCCUCAUGGCCCUUAUGACCAGGGCUUCACACGUCAUACAAUGGUCGGUACAGAGGGUCGCGAAGCCGCGAGGUGGAGCCAAUCUCAUAAAACCGAUCGUAGUCCGGAUCGCACUCUGCAACUCGAGUGCGUGAAGUCGGAAUCGCUAGUAAUCGCGGAUCAGCAUGCCGCGGUGAAUACUUU
rnacentral:rRNA from 1 species